UCGUGCUAGACGGGGAGCUAGCGGUGCCCUGUACCCGCAAUCCGCUAUAGCGGGGUCGAAUUCCCUCUCGCGGUGUGUCUCCCUGUAGGAUGACCCUGAUACGGGGCGUUGACGGUUGGGUCUCGCGCGGCGAAGGCCCGUGAACCCCGUCAGGUCCGGGAGGAAGCAGCGGUAAGCGGUUACCUCCGGGCGACGCGAGGCAGCCUGGCCCGAGCCCACGAUCAGGGGGCACUACGGGCAAGCGCAACAACAGAGGGUGCACGA
rnacentral:SRP_RNA from 1 species